rnacentral:lncRNA from 1 species
UAUCAAUAUAGAAUCUACAUGUUAAUGAUUUUUAUGUUGUUCUUGAACUUUAGGAAGCCUCAAGAAACAGUAUUUACAAGACUCAAAUAAACCAAAACAAAUCUCUUCCUAGAGUGUUUCUGCCUCACAAUCUACCAUUUAUGUAUAACAAGAUAACAAGAAAAGUAAUUUCUAUCUCAAGGAAGAAGGCCAUGUCGACACCAAUACAUUUCGAAAUUUCAAAAUACCAACCAAUAAAAUGAUUCAUACACAACAAAAUGUGCAGCAUCCACACUAGAAAAUGAAUUUAUCAAACUCAAGAAAAAGGCAGCAAAAAUUGGCAAUUAAGAAAUCCCUCAAAUCUCCAUUAUGUUCCAUUUUUCAAACACGAUUUCCCCAUUACGCCUCGCAGUUUACAAUCAUCAAAUGGAACCAUUAUGUAACUUGCUUUGAAGAAUUCACGGGAUGCUUAAAACCGAAAUCGUGUGAAGAUGGAGGUAAGAUGUUGGCACAGCAUACAGAUCUUCUAUAUGAUCUUUAGACUCGGGCCGGCAGGCGACUGAGGGAGUUGCUACCAUGCUCUCCAGAAUCCCUUCAAUUCUUCAUCUGUAAAUUAAUCCUCUUUCAUAGUUUCAAUUUCCUAGUUACAUGACAAAUAAAUUAAAAAUAAAUAUAAACCAAUUCGAAAGGAAAUUAAAAAUAAACAAAGAAAGGACCAUAAAAGACAAAAUGAACUAAUAAUUCUGUAAAUUUACUUUCUUACAAGAGUGAAAGUGUUGUUUCAACAUAUAAGUGCUUGCAUAUGAAAUAAGAGAGAAAUAAUUAAUUAGUUGCAUAUAGAUUAAAACUCACCAAAUCAUUUCUUACCAUAGUGCUUGUUUGUUUUUCUUCACAAGGUUGUUCAGGCCAGGAGUGCAGAAGAUUGGGAGCCUGAAUAAGUGAGUGGAUAUAUACGACACAUCCCAUUAAAUGUCAUUCG